GUGCCAGCCGCCGCGGUAAUACCGGCAGCCCGAGUGAUGGCCGAUCUUAUUGGGCCUAAAGCGUCCGUAGCUGGCCGCGCAAGUCCGUCGGGAAAUCCAUCAGCCCAACUGAUGGGCGUCCGGCGGAAACUGCACGGCUUGGGACCGGAAGGCUCGAGAGGUACGUCCGGGGUAGGAGUGAAAUCCUGUAAUCCCGCACGGACCACCGAUGGCGAAAGCACCUCGAGAAGACGGCUCCGACGGUGAGGGACGAAAGCCAGGGUCUCGAACCGGAUUAGAUACCCGGGUAGUCC
rnacentral:rRNA from 1 species